UACGUAGGGGGCUAGCGUUGUCCGGAUUUAUUGGGCGUAAAGAGCUCGUAGGCGGCGCGGUAAGUCGGGUGUGAAAUCUCGGGGCUUAACUCCGAAACUGCAUUCGAUACUGCCGUGCUUGAGGACUGGAGAGGAGACUGGAAUUUACGGUGUAGCGGUGAAAUGCGCAGAUAUCAGGAGGAACACCAAUUGCGAAGGCAGCUCGCUGGGACGUAACUGACGCUGAGACGCGAAAGCGUGGGGAGCAAACAGG
rnacentral:rRNA from 1 species